AGCCGGAAUUGAACCAGCACGUACCCGUUGCAGAAGCAAGGACGAUCCCACAAUCGUGUGUGUGUGUGUGUCUCUGAGCUGAACGGUCUGCAGAGAAAGAGAGCUACCGAGGUCCUCAACCUGCUGCUACGAGACCUCAGUGACAUCGGCGCCAUCAUCGGCACCAGUGAUGUCAACACAGCUUCCUCAGAGUCAAAGGGGAACGGCUCAGCGGUGGAGGAGGAGUUCACAUCAGCAAGUUCAAGUCUGAGGUCAAGUCUCUGGUGAACCGCAGCAAACAGCUGGAGAGCACGCAGGCCGACGCCCACACAAACAUUCAGGCCAAUGACAAGGAGACAUGAUGGAGACGAGGACAUCAAGGAACUCUGUUGAUGUCUUCCAGGAGGAUCCCCCGUCGGUGGCCGUCUUCCUGCUCAGGUAGGAGACUCAAAGCUUUCUUAAUGUUGUUUUGUUAUGUUCCAGGUUUUAGGUCUUAUAGAUGUUUAGACUCAGUUAUUUUAAUCAGCUACUAAGAAGUCGAUUUAGAGUGGAGGAACAUCAACCUGGAACAUAAAACAACAUUAAGAAAGCUUUUGAGCUCCUACCCAAUGAAGCUGGAGGAUAGUGGGGGGGGGGGACUGGCUGGAUGUAACCCCCUCACCUGUGACACCUUAUUGUAUUGUGCUGAUGUAACAUGUACAAAACACAGAGGUCAUCAUGUCUGUUCAAUAUUUUAUUGU